UGCAGGUCCUAGGGCAAAAAUACUGG
rnacentral:piRNA from 1 species